UGCGAGUGAAGCGGGAAAAGCUCAAAUUUAAAAUCUGGCGGUCCUUGGCCGUCCGAGUUGUAAUUUAGAGAAGCGUCUUCCGCGCCGGACCGUGCACAAGUCUCCUGGAAUGGAGCGUCGUAGAGGGUGAGAAUCCCGUCUUUGGCACGGACGCCCGGUGCUUCUGUGAUGCGCUCUCGAAGAGUCGAGUUGUUUGGGAAUGCAGCUCAAAAUGGGUGGUGAACUCCAUCUAAAGCUAAAUAUUGGCGAGAGACCGAUAGCGAACAAGUACCGUGAGGGAAAGAUGAAAAGCACUUUGGAAAGAGAGUGAAACAGUACGUGAAAUUGUUGAAAGGGAAACGCUUGAAGUCAGUCGCGUCGACCGAGACUCAGCCUCGCCUUGGCUUGGUGUACUUCUCGGACCGACGGGUCAGCAUCGAUUUCGCCCCUCGGAUAAUGGCAAGGGAAAGGUGGCACCUUUGCGGGUGUGUUAUAGUCUCCUGUCGCACGCGAGGGGUGAGAUCGAGGAACUCAGCGUGCGCCUCUGGUGUCGGGGCUUCGGCCCACGUAACGCGCUUAGGAUGCUGGCGUAAUGGCUAUAAACGAC
rnacentral:rRNA from 1 species